rnacentral:lncRNA from 1 species
GUUGUUCUUUUGCUCCUUGGGUCCACACUGCGUUUAUGAGCUGUAAUAUUCACCGCAAAGGUCUGCAGCUUCACUACUAAGCCAACGAGACCACAAACCCACCAGGAGGAACGACAAUUCCAGACGCGUGGCUUUAACAGCUGUUAACACUCACCGCGAAGGUCUGUAGCUUCAUUUCUGAGUCAGCGAGACCACGAACCCACCAGAAAGAAGAAACUCCGAACACACCCGAACCUCAGAAGGAACAAAUUCCGGACACGCCGCCUUUAAGAACUGUAACACUCACCACAAGGGUCCGCGGCUUCAUUCUUGAAGUCAGUGAGACCAAGAACCCACUAAUUCCGGACACACUUUGACCAGCAGAGCAGGCAGAAGUAAAGCCACGGUUCACAGAAGUGGUGAGGGGAAUACGUGGGUCCUAGGCGGACGCUGUCUAUAUCUGGCUGCCCCGGCUGGACACAGGCUCAAUCUUGCUGGAAUCUGUCCUCUUACUCCCCUACCCCAGCCCAGUGCCCCACCAGCGUGCUCCACUCAGCAUCCUGAUUUUCCCUGGAAUGUGCCACUUUGCCACCAUUUCCCUUUCAACAGAUGGAAUAUAGCAAGUUCGCUUUCUGUAUCAAUCAUGUCACAAAUCAUUAAGCAUAUCGACAUCAAGCAGAGCCAGCCUGUGUAGUCGCAAAGGGGUCGGGUGUUCUUCCACUGC